UUUCCUUGAACUCCGAUCCCAACCUCCUCGUGGUGCUAGCUGGAAUAUGAUCGCUGUACAUCAUGGAUAGCGAUUGUAUACUAAUAGGGACGG
rfam:Anopheles sinensis unplaced genomic scaffold AS2_scf7180000690442, whole genome shotgun sequence.